CUGUCAAAAGAAUCCUAGAGAAUAAUUUAGCAUGGAAAAUGGAAAGAGGGAUGAUUCUGAAACUCAGGAAAAGAUAGAGACACGCAUAAGGCCAAGAGGCUGAGGAAGGGCAGCCGCCCUAAAGGAGAAUGAGGAAAAACUGGACUAGGAGUGAAGAGCAACUGUUCUGGAGCUUGAGGAAGAUCUUGGAGUGGGGCAUGUUAACCCAUGGUUAUACCAUGAGAUAGAGUGGUGGAUUUCCAGCAUUGCAGACACCAAAGGCAGGACAGGUGCUACAGUGCUAUUGGGGUUCAUUAGGUGCAAGAUGUUGUCACAUACUACUGCCUUAAUCAAGGGAGCUCUGACUCAGUAGAUGAAAAGGAAAGCACAAGCAGGUAAGUCUGAUGAAAAUAGAAAAGGAUUUAAUAUGGGCUGAAAAGGUGAGGAAGAAUGUAAAAGAGGGUUAAAAUGAAGAAAAAGAGAAAAAAACAACCUAGAAUUUAGGACUGCCUAUUUAUUUCUUUGCUUAUUUGUUAUGCUGUCUUUUGAGAUGGUUCGUCUCCUGGAGAAAGAGCCAGAUGAUAGGCCAAGUACAAUUUCAGCUACUUCAAUGCAGUCUGGGCAGGUGCUUGUUCAGGGAUAGUGCACGGAAGGGCUUUCCUUUCUCAACUUAUCUCCCUACGCUUGACAAGCAUGCCUGAUAAUAGCCAUGGCAUUAGUGGCAUCAUCAGGAGCCGCAGUGGCAGCAAGAAUUCCUUCAAAGGUGACGUUUGUAGUUUCAGUUUGUGCCAGUGUCAUGCUGGUGUCAGUAAUAGGAAUCUCACCAGCAGGAUUUGUGCAAUGAAACUCUGAAAAGCCUUGUCCCUGACUGCUGGCAGAUGAGGCUGCUUGCCCCACACCAGAAGACAUGGUAGACCAGCACUCCUCUUCAAAUAAUUGCUAGAAAUCAUGAGCUCUCAGGAAAUGAGUCUCUUGCAGUCUCUCUCGAGUUCCUGCUAGCAGGACCACUGUACUGGAGAGUUAAUGUAGCAGACAUUGAUGGAUGGUCUAGCCAGGCACAGAUGUCUAGAGAUUAUAUGUCAAGCUUUAAGCUGAAUCACUUCCCUGGAAGAUUUUCCCCUGCUGAGCUGAUAACUUGGCCUGGGUUAUGUAGAGCACUAAGGCUGCUCUGCACCUGUGCUCCUGUCUAGUACCCAGGGCUCCAUCUAUGACAUAUGGAGCUAAAGGGAGAAGUACUUGGUUGGGACAGCCAUGGGCACCUGUAGACCUCUGGACUGUUCAGGAAAUGCAAUUCAAGGAAUUGCCUAGCUUGAGAACAGAACACAGUUAACUGCGUACAGGUAUGCUGAAUUCCCAUAUGUCAGAAUAGCCAGCUUUGAUGAUUGAGAUGCUGACAAUUGAAGGGAUUCGUGACAGAUUUGAGGAUACCUGACCUCUCCACACUUCAUCCUAAGAAAGAUGUGUGACAAGCCCAAUAUUCUGAAGUGCACAAGGCACUCCUCAGUUUCCUAUGUACCUCCAUUUGAACCUGGAAGAGGCUCGCCAUCCAGCACAGGACUACUUUGUGGCAACUACUAUUAUUGGCACAGUGCUGCCUGCAUCAAAACAUAACCUGGUCUAGGAUUUAGCCUAUAUCAUCAAUUGGGCAAAAUCCAAUUCGGGGCCUGAAGAAGGGGAACAACAAGGAAACAGAAGUUGGGGAAGCAGAGAGAUGUUGUUGUUUUCUGGUGUGAGGCAAGAUUUCACUGUACUGUCCACGAAAAUGUCUGUAUUACUACAGAAAUCCAUCAAUAUUGGCCCUGAUCUUUUUCCAGUAAGUCACUUGAAUGAUGGUGUACUUCUCCUUAACAUUAUACACAGUCUCAUUCUAGUAAAAGGUAUGGGACAUUUUUGAUAUGCUUAGGAAUGUUGGAGAUGAAGGCUUUGGCAGAGUUGCUGACUCUCCAUCUCUUGUCCUAGCAUUUCUCUUUAGACUGUGAAGAGUUGAGAAAGCAUAGGUAGGUAGCUCUGCUCUUACUUCUGAUACAGUCCUAGCUACCCCAUGUAGGUCGCCUUCUGUCCUGUGCCCUUGGCAUUUCUUGGCCCCUUCUACACGUAAGCUCUCUAUUCAUGGCUAUAUCUAUAUUAGCAAGUACUGUGACCCAAUAGGAACAGAUCUGUAAAGCAAAUUAGCUACUGCUGGGUACCAGAUGUCAACUACAUGUAUUUCCAUGCAAGCAGUUGGGUGUAUGUGCAUGUACCUUGUGAAGCUGAAUCACUAUGGAGAACUGAGUUGUCCAGAUUGUCCCCCACUGCAUACAUGGGACAGAUGAAUUGUGACUCUGUAGAAGCACUUCUUUAGGAGAGACCUUUAGGCUAAAUAUAGAUGUAUACCCUUAGUCAGAUGAAUUGCACCCUCAGAGUUAGAACCACAGUACAAACUUACAACACAGUCUGAGCUUCAGCCUUGUGAACUCUGUAUUACCUCCUAGGAGAAGUUCAAUAAAAUUCUUAUGUUCAUUUCCUCUCCAAAAUAUCAAUAUGGAAAAAAAAAGAAUUCAUCUUUGGUUUCAAAAUUGUCUUAAAGCUUUCCCCACACACAGCCACAGAAAGGAGUAUUUUUACUGAAAGAUGGAAUCAAGCUCCUACAUCUCCAAAUAGGCAUUUUCUGCUUCAGGGGAUUCUUAAGAGCAAAAGAUUUUUGCAUAUUCCUUUGUAGUCAUGCAGCCUGAGAGACAUUCAUGCAGUUCACACCCAAUGAACAAGUGACCAAAAAUUGGAUUUUUGGCUCAGUGAAACCAUACUGUUAUUUUUUUAAUGCAUAACACAUCUUUGUGGGCCCGCAAAGAUGAUAAGACCCACUCUUUAGUUUGUUUUCAGAAUUAGUUUGAAUUUUAAAGGGUAGAUAAUUGCCCUGACAGGAAACAAGAUCCAUGUAUUAUCAACACAGUAUUCCUUUCCACCCCAAUAAGAUUUUAAAAAGUAGACAUCUCGGACCAAUUAGAAAAGUUCGUUUUGCAGUACAGUGGAAGUGUCCAAAAAUUUUUACCAUUAGUACAGUGUUAUUAUAAGUGAAAAAGAAAUCCCUGGAAUUCUCAGGUUUUAUUCUGAAUAAACAGAUACACUAACAGUAAUAUGACCUUUGUUCACCCAGUUUUUGUGUUCUCCUCCUGAAGUUUUACAGCUAUCAGUUUCAGUAUUUUUUAAAUGCGAUACAAUAUUUUGAAAGCUUCCUCCUCAAAUGUUUCUUUCCUCUAAGGCAGUAAUUUUGCAGAGCAUGUAUAAACAAAAUGCCACCCUGACUUUUCUUAGCUGACUCUGACUUACUGAAUUUGGCUUAUUGAUUAUUUGAUUACUUGGUGUAAACACAUCUUUAAUUUUGUGCACGCUACUAUUUUCUUAAAACAAUACAACUAUCAUAAUCAAAUACAGGUGCAGCUGAAAGACAAAAAGGCAUUUUUCCAGUCUUACACUUCAGAUUUUAGCAUCUUACUCAAACUCUGCAAAUCACUAGGAGAACAGUGUAUGAGAUUGGUCUGUAUCAGUAAACGAGACAAAACAGAAUAAAACAUGAGGACAGAACUCCCUAUUUAGAUAUUACUUUUCCCAUUGCACUAUAGCUAUAUUUCCUUUUCACUUACAGAUUUUCUUUUUCAUUUGCUUGAAGUACACUGAGAAAUUAAACCUGUAGAAGAAAAGAUUUUAUGGUUAUGAUUUUAUAAUGUAAUAAGUAGGGAGAACAUUUGUUUUUAUUCUACCAUAUCACAAGAUGGCAAACUAUCAUUCCAAAAGCAGAUGUAUUUGAAGUUCCGUUUUACCUUGGAAUGACCCCACAUCUGAGACUUAAAAUAACACAGAGUAUUAUUUCUCCUAGAGAAUAAAAAUAGAGUGACUUUGCUUUGUCCUACACAUCAGCCUUGUGGACUAUACAUCAUAGAUAUUGUAUAUACAUUCAUCCAUCAUUUCUGUUUCCUACAUGCAGGAGCAAAUCAUCCUUUUUUUAGUCCAUCUAUUGCACUUCAGCUGCCAAAAAAGCAAAAGUAUAUAUGAAGGCUGUUUUAAAUUACUUAAUAAAACUUUGCUUACAUAAAUCUUCUUCUAGGUAAAGUGCAAUGUGUAAAUGAAGAUACUUUAGUGCACAGGCUGUUGGAAAAUCCACGUGCUUCCCAGAACCUAACGUGCUAAGACCUAAUUUUCUCUGGAAGGAAAAGGGUAAAAGGGCCUGGAAGAACUGACCAUUGAAAAGCUCCAAGCUGUUUGCAGAAAUACAUGUGACCUCACAAGUCCAAACACCAUGAGUAACAUCUGGAUAGAUAUGCUGCAGGUCACCCAUGAGGAGGUCAGGUGCAGGGGAUAUGAGUGGAUUUGAGGGCAGUCUGCUCACAGCCAUCCUUCAACCUCUCAGGUGUGAAAUGUCUUUGCUUCAUUUUUGUAUCUCCAUUUUUCCACAUGCCUCCCCCCCACUUUUUUUUCCAAGGCCAGUCUUGACUCAUUCAUCUGCGGAGAUCCGCAGCAGUCAGCUUCCCGUCUCAUCCUGUCUCCCUUUGAAAGGGAUAGCUAAUAAAUCUGAUGCAAAUAGAACAUAGGCUCAUAAAUAGUGUGAAAAUGACCCGGGGCUAACAUGGUUGUCAAGCAACCAAUUCCCUGCUAAUCACUUCAGCUAGUGAUGGAAAUAGUUUAGUGUUGGCCUGGCGAGUCCUUUCUGAGCACAGGAAUUGCUAUCCUGCUUUACUAUCCCGUGUGACCCGUGUCAUGUGUCUGUCAGCAAACUACACGAGAUAUUUCAAAAGUGUAAAAAUUCUGACAAUUAGGAAAUGACUCACGCCCUGGCAGCUUUUUUGUAACUCAAUUUUUAGUGGUUGACAUAACGUGUCUUGUACAUAUUUAUUCUAAUGCAAAGAUGAAUGUUCUCUCAAGACUAACAUCUUUUUGACAGUGCUAUUAUUUAUCAGUGAGUUUCACAGAAUUAACUGUGUUCUGUACGUUUUAAACCCUCUUAUUUCAAAUCUAGUUCCUUAAGAUCUGUUUGUAUCUCUCUUUAUCCUCUCUUACGAAAAACGCCAAUUGAAAGUGCACAGUAUACCAUCUCAGUUAUUACUUUAUGUUCUUCCUUUCCAUUUUUUUCUUAUCUAAGCUAACUAGUUUUUUUCUAUUUCCUGACACAGGGAAACCACCUGAAGUCCCUCUUGUAUUAUCACUUUGAGAAAGGACUAUCAGAAUUGAGUACAGUAUCCCAGCUGAGGAAGUCUGUAUCUAUGCUAUGUAUAUGUACAUGUAGGGGAUACUUUCACUGAGUCAUUCAUAAAUACCUCUGCACCUUUUCCUCAUCGAUUAAAUUAAUUUAAAACCUAAUACUGUGCAACAGUAGUAGAACUAUUUCAUAUUUUGAGUCUAUAAGGAUAUUUCUUCCAAACAAUAAAAGCAUUUGAAAAUAUAUCUCAAACUGUUUUAGAAUUUUAUCAUUAGCAUUUUAACAUAUUUUCCUGUUAUUUCAGAUUGCUCCUUGCAGCAUGUGUUCGUUUGCCAUCAUCUCUUAUCUACUCAUGUAACCCCACUGAGUCUCUGAAAUGCUUCACAUUUUUCUUUGAUUUUGCCUAUGUGAUAGAACUCUGUAUUAUCUGCAAAAAUCUAUCACCUCACCAUUGGUGUACUUUUACCAAACGACUGGUUAAUUCAUCAGGCAACACCACUUCCAGUGUGCCCCAAUAGGACUUCUGCAGUGCUGAAAACUAUGCAUGAACCAUCAUUGCUUUGUUUCCAGCCUCUUAGCAAGUUUCCUAUCCAGGACAGUCAUUUACCUCUGACCCUAUGAGCCUCUGGUUUCCAAAACAGGAUCUUACGGGAGACUUUUAUCAAAGUUCUUUUGAGUCAGUAAUUAUAGUUGGUAGUUCUCCUUUCUCUAGUGUCUUGUGAUGGCUCAAAAACAAUUAUCCGAGACUAAAAAGGUAAGGUUUUUCACAACAGAAAUAGGGAUGGUUAGUCUUUGUAUGUCAGUGCUAUUUUUGUUUCAAGCUAUGUAUAUGGCAGUUCAAAGCAAGCUCAUUAAAGUAAAAUUUCAGAUUUCAUCUCUAAUGCUUUUUAAAAUAAAUAAUAUUUAUUAUUAUUUUAUAUCAUUUUGUUAUUUUAUAUAAUAAAAUUAUGUAAGUAUAAAUAAUGUUGUUUUAUAGUUUUUAUAUUAUUUUAUUAAAUAUUUAUUAUUAUUAACUUGAAAAUCUGCACCUAUUUUCUUGAGAUUAUUCUGUCUUUCUAGCAAUUCUUUCAUAUUUUUCCUGAAUUUUUGGAUCAUUGCCAUGCAAGAUUAAAGCACAACAAAAAUUUUCCACCAGAUCUCUCUCACUCUUUCAGAAAUUGUUAUAAAAGAGUUUCCCUUUCUUUUCUACUACAUAUUCCACUUUCAGUAGCAGCUGCAGAGAGCCAGAGCUCUAGUUCUGUGAUUCGACUGCGGGUCCUUCUUUUCAAGAAAUGGAGCCAUGAUGGCACGACUCCACACAAAAUACCUCAUGCUCAGAUACAGCCGGAGAGGGAAAUUGAUGUCACCCCAGAAGGAGAGAAAAGAAUUACAAGAUUGUCACACUGCAAAAUGGAAAGGACCUCAGCUCUCCAGAAAGUGUGGUUCUCCCGAAAUGCCUCCAAGUUCCCUAAAUCCCUUCAGUCCCUUCAGUUUUCUAAAAAUAAUCCAGCUACAUCUUUGAUUGCCAACUGACUCCUUGGAAAGCAGCUCCAGCAAAAACCUACAUCCAACUAUCUAGAAGCACCCAAAGAAUCACAGUAGUGAGUAUGGUAUUGCUAUAGUGCUACAAUGGGCUAUAUUAAAGAAAUUUAAAUAAUUGCUGAUACAUAGCAAGUAAUGCUAAUGUACAGUCAAAGCAAAGUAGGUCUAAAUCAUCCACAGGUCAUACCAUGCAGCACCAGUGAAAUAAAAUCUGUUUACUAUUACAACCAGGUAUUCCCUUAUCUACAAUGUUUAACAGAGUUUUCAAAAAGCCAGGCCGAUAGUUAAACCCAGCUGUGCACCAACUACCUUGAAUGCAAGGAAAUAAAGUUGUUAAAACUGUAUGUUCUACAUUAGAAGCAAAAUGAGGGGAAAAAAAGAUUCUGAUCCUAUAAUCACUUAUAUAUGUAUAUCCAUAGCCUUGCUAAUAAUAGUAAUCCUAUGGCAAAUUGGUAUUUGCAAACAGAUGCAUUAAAGCGAACUUCAUUACAGAAAGAAUAAAGGUAAUUUCACAUACCA